GAAAAAGCAUGUGCGAGCAAGGAGGCCUACAAACCUGACUCAGUGAAAUGUAUUUGGCUAAACUUCCAACUUCAACUGUAUAGACAAUACAUGGUGACUUGAGAGCCCAUACUGUGAAUCCCUGAGCGUAAAGGCUGAGCAAUGACUUUGUUUUGACUGUAGCUGUCUCAGCCUGCUGUAUGGUAUCUAUCUACUAUCUAUCCAUACAUUUUGCAGUGGUACAGUAAACUGUCUUUUUCCAAGGACACGUGCAUCCACAGUCAGCAACAACAGCUCGACAAAGUGUUGAGAAGUAGGCCAGAGAAUAAAAGAAACUUGACUUUGAAGUUCCAGAGCUCCAUUUCCUGUUCCACCAGAGGAAAUGCUGCUGUGUGCUGUGUGUUGUUUUCUGUGGAUCUGACUAAUGGCUGGGGGCAGAGUCCCCCCACCAUGAGAUACACUCAUCAACGAUAAACAUCAACAACAACAGCAGUGAAUAAUAUUUUUUCAUAAUUAUAACUAUGUCUUACCUUUCUAUUCUUGUAUUUUUUUGUCAGGGAAACUUGUUUACUGGUGGUGGAAAGUACUUGUUGGUUAACUGCUCUUCAUUAUGAGCUUGGUCAUAUCAUCAUACCUUUCCCAGUCACUAGGUAUAACAAAGCAACGACAAAGACAACCAUACCGUAUGAGGUUUUAAUACCUUAAGUUUACUUGAUUUACAACAGUGCUGCUGGCACAUUUCAGUGAAUUUAUUCACUUGUGGAAUGUCUUGACAGAGUACAGACCUCAGAUAUACAUGAUUCAUAAGCACUGAGUAUGUGCCAAUUAUGUGAGCUGUAACAAUGUCAUUUCCAAAACAUUAUUCAGAAUUGAAAUAUGUUUUGGGUUGUUUUGUUCUUUAAGACGAUUCAGUUUUGUUAAUUGCCUGUAUUAUGCAUGACUGUUAUUUGAACAAAGACAACACAUUUUGCAGUUGUUGUCCCUUGUUUUCAGCGACACUCUGGUGCACUACUGUAGGACUUGAAAUAUUAGCUAUUAACAGACCUGUCAGACAUCAGUUGAGAUACAUGUAAUGGGUGGAUAUAGAUUGCACUGCUAUGAGAUGUGAACGCUCUGUUGAUUUCCUGACAUGCACGGAGGAAAACAAACUCUACACCUUAUGUAACAGCAACAAUAUUAGAUAUGUUCCCAAAUACUAAUUUCAAUGUAUUUUCUUGCCAAAUAUACACAAGGGACAUUUUUUAUUUUGGGCUAUUCCUUUUUUAUAGCCCUUUACCCUGGGUUACCUUGUCAGUGCUCUAUUCCUACUUUGUGAGACUAUUGCUCAACUUUCUCCCUGCUCUGCUGUAGCUCUGUCCUGCAAUUAAUCACAACAGGAUGUCACUGAUAUGUUUAAUGAUACUGUUCUUAUGUUGUAGUUUUCGUUUUUGAACAGUUUUAAUGAAGUCCAAACUCUUAUUUAAACAACAGCACAUUAUUUAUUUUAAAUCCCCCCCAAAAUAUAUUUUCAAAGUAUGUUGUACAUGGAGCAUAAACCAACUGGUAAUACAGUACUUAUAUAGCUUUGCAGUAUUUAUAUGACUUCUUAUUUUUUCAUUUCUUUGUUUUGUUUUCAGAACAAUGUUCACUUGGCGUCUUUUUUUGUCAACCUUGUUAAGUUUUUAGUAUACAGUACUUUGAGCAAAACGUGGCUCUGGACAAUGCAAUGUAAGCAUUACGAAUUGAGUAAACAAACAUGUUAACAUUUAAA